GACGAACGCUGGCGGCGUGCUUAACACAUGCAAGUCGAACGGAAAGGCCCUGCUUUUUUGGGGUGCUCGAGUGGCGAACGGGUGAGUAACACGUGAGUAACCUGCCCUUGACUUUGGGAUAACUUCAGGAAACUGGGGCUAAUACCGGAUAGGAGCUCCUGCUGCAUGGUGGGGGUUGGAAAGUUUCGGCGGUUGGGGAUGGACUCGCGGCUUAUCAGAUUGUUGGUGGGGUAGUGGCUUACCAAGGCUUUGACGGGUAGCCGGCCUGAGAGGGUGACCGGCCACAUUGGGACUGAGAUGCGGCCCAGACUCCUACGGGAGGCAGCAGUGGAGAAUAUUGCACAAUGGGCGGAAGCCUGAUGCAGCAACGCCGCGUGCGGGAUGACGGCCUUCGGGUUGUAAACCGCUUUCGCCUGUGACGAAGCGUGAGUGACGGUAAUGGGUAAAGAAGCACCGGCUAACUACGUG
rnacentral:rRNA from 1 species